rnacentral:tRNA from 1 species
GUGGCCGUGGUGUAGCGGUUUCGCACGGCAGGUCGUGGCCCUGCAGGCACGAGUUCGAAUCUCGUCGGUCACC